rnacentral:misc_RNA from 1 species
GAUGAAGAACGCAGCGAAAUGCGAUAAGUAAUGUGAAUUGCAGAAUUCAGUGAAUCAUCGAAUCUUUGAACGCACAUUGCGCCCGCUAGUAUUCUGGCGGGCAUGCCUGUCCGAGCGUCGUUUCAACCCUCAAGCCCCCGGGCUUGGUGUUGGGGAUCGGCGAGCCUCCGCGCCCGCCGUCCCCUAAAUCUAGUGGCGGUCUCGCUGUAGCUUCCUCUGCGUAGUAGCACACCUCGCACUGGGAAACAGCGCGGCCACGCCGUUAAACCCCCAACUUCUGAACGUUUGACCUCGGAUCAGGUAGGAAUACCCGCUGAACUUAAGCAUAUCAAUAAGCGGAGGA